UCAUGGCCAUAAACGAGUUCAAAGGGUGAAAAUCCCCAGAGUGGGAUGUGGUACAGCUCUGUAGGCAAAGAGCAACUGCUGCAACACUAGGUCCCAAACAAUGUAGAUUUUGUUGGUGAAUUU